CGCAAACUCGCGAGAGUAAGCUAAUCUCUUAAAGCCGUUCUCAGUUCGGACUGUAGGCUGCAACUCGCCUACACGAAGUCGGAAUCGCUAGUAAUCGCGGAUCAGCAUGCCGCGGUGAAUACGUUCCCGGGCCUUGUACACACCGCCCGUCACACCAUGGAAGUCUGCAAUGCCCGAAGCCGGUGGCCUAACCACUUAUGUGGAAGGAGCCGUCUAAGGCAGGGCAGAUGACUGGGGUGAAGUCGUAACAAGGUAGC
rnacentral:rRNA from 1 species